ACAACGAGCUUUCUUGUACUCCCCUGUCUCAUUUUGAGUAAUUGUCCGUCUUAUUUAAAAUUUUUUAUAAUUAAUAUUUCUGUUAUUAUGAAAUGAUAAAACAUAAAUAAUAAUUUACUUGUGACUUAUAUUUUUAAUUUUUUUAAAAGUAAUUUUAAAUAAGACAGACGAUUAAAGUUUACAUAAAAAACCAUAACUGUGUUUAAA
rnacentral:pre_miRNA from 1 species